CGACAAUAUUUUUUCCACUCUAUCAAAAGUGUUUGAAGGAAAACUCCUGCAGUCAUUGUCAGCAAGGAGGAAAGAGACAAGCCUCCGUUCCGGGACUUUAUCGGAGGCUUUAACAACAGGUUUGACAGGGAGAAAGCUCCUCAUUCUGCUACAAAAAACAGGUUCAGGUGCUGCGGCGGCGGGUUAAUGGAUAACCUUGGGCUCGGCGCUGGCGGGGAGCGAGGGGAGGAGGCGGCCGCCAUGAAGAAACGGUUGCCAGGGGAAACCACGAUGCUGCAGCCAUAAUGAGAGGGAACCUGUCUGCAAGCUGAA